rnacentral:rRNA from 1 species
CGGACGGGUGAGUAACGCGUAGGUAUCUAUCUCCGGGUGGGGGGACAACCGUGGGAAACUACGGCUAAUACCGCAUGAUGCCCGAGGGCCAAAGCAGCAAUGCGCCUGGAGAGGAGCCUGCGUACGAUUAGCUUGUUGGCGGGGUAAUGGCCCACCAAGGCGACGAUCGUUAGCUGGUCUGAGAGGAUGAUCAGCCACACUGGGACUGAGACACGGCCCAG